AACAUUCUCUAUUUUUUUUGUUUUUAUAUACAAGUAUAGAUGUUUCAGGCUUUUGCUUUGUUGUUGAAAAGACCAUACUUUUUGUUUUAUUUAUGUUUAGAGAAAGCUGCCCAGUUUUCACAAAACAUGGAAACUUUAUUUAGACUAUUUUGGAGACCCUCCUUAGAUUCUGAUAGUAAAAGCAGAUCAUCAGCAAACAGGAGGGAGCC
rnacentral:lncRNA from 1 species